CAGAAAAGUUGAUUGUGUUAGCUUUUAAUAGUGGACUCAAAGUGUUCCGCUAGUGGGCCUGCUCCGCCAGCGGCGAGGAGCAGGGUACCCGCGAGACCGUCAAAUUGCGGGAAGUUCCUUAGAGCCUUUUCUACCGCCUUCGCAUGGAAACAUAGCGUCGCGCACCAGGGUAAUGACCUCGGGUAUGGUAAAAACGAAAAGGAUUGGAUAAUCCGCAGCCAAGUCCUAAGGGUGUAACAGCCUACGGAUGCAGUUCAACGACUAGAUGGCGGUCGGUCUUGGUCGCAAACGACCUCGACUUAAGAUAUAGUCUGGCCCCCGUGAAAGCGGGCU
rnacentral:ncRNA from 1 species